rnacentral:rRNA from 1 species
GACAGCAGUCGCCGCGGUAAUACGAAGGGGGCUAGCGUUACUCGGAAUUACUGGGCGUAAACGGCGCGUAGGCGGCACGAUUAGUCAGGCGUGAAAUUCCUGGGCUCAACCUGGGGACUGCGCUUGAUACGGUCGAGCUAGAGGAUGGAAGAGGGUCGUGGAAUUCCCGGUGUAGCGGUGAAAUGCGUAGAGAUCGGGAGGAACAUCAGUGGCGAAGGCGGCCAUCUGGGACAACACUGACGCUGAGGCACGAAAGCGUGGGGAGCAAACAGGAUUAGAUACCCCUGUAGUCCCUGUCUCUUAUAC